GGGUGUGUAACUCAGUGGUAGAGCGCAUGCUUAUCAUGCACAAGGUCCUGGGUUCAAUUCCCACUACCUCCA
rnacentral:tRNA from 1 species